UACGUAGGGUGCGAGCGUUAUCCGGAAUUAUUGGGCGUAAAGAGCUCGUAGGCGGUUUGUCACGUCUGCUGUGAAAGCUGAAGGCUUAACCUUUCAGUGUGCAGUGGGUACGGGCAGGCUGGAGUGCAGUAGGGGAGACUGGAAUUCCUGGUGUAGCGGUGAAAUGCGCAGAUAUCAGGAGGAACACCGAUGGCGAAGGCAGGUCUCUGGGCUGUUACUGACGCUGAGGAGCGAAAGCAUGGGGAGCGAACA
rnacentral:rRNA from 1 species